UCAAAAAAGAUGAGAAAAACAACGUCCCGGC
rnacentral:piRNA from 1 species